rnacentral:snoRNA from 1 species
UGAGCAUCUGUGAUGAGAACUUAAAAUCGUCAUCCUUGCACUUUGAUUGCCAGUGAAGAAAUUGGGGAAAUUUGUUUCUCUGAGAUGCCU